GGUAUUGUGAAGCGCGCUUCUAAUCGUCUUCGGACAAUUUUUUGACUCUGGCCUCAAAUCAGGUAGGACUACCCGCUGAACUUAAGCAUAUCAAUAAGCGGAGGAAAAGAAACUAACAAGGAUUCCCUUAGUAACGGCGAGUGAACCGGGAAGAGCUCAAAUUUGAAAUCUGGCUGUCUUCGAUAGUCCGAGUUGUAAUCUAUAGAAGCGUUUUCCGUGCUGAACUGUGUCUAAGUCCCUUGGAACAGGGUAUCAAAGAGGGUGACAAUCCCGUACUUGACACAAUCAUCAGUGCUCUGUGAUACGCUCUCUACGAGUCGAGUUGUUUGGGAAUGCAGCUCAAAAUGGGUGGUAAAUUCCAUCUAAAGCUAAAUAUUGGCGAGAGACCGAUAGCGAACAAGUACCGUGAGGGAAAGAUGAAAAGCACUUUGGAAAGAGAGUUAAACAGUACGUGAAAUUGUUGAAAGGGAAACGAUUGAAGUCAGUCGUGUUCAUUGGAUUCAGCCGGUCUUCGGUGUACUUCCUUUGAACGGGUCAACAUCAGUUUUGCCCGGUGGAUAAAGGCAGUAGGAAUGUGGCCUCUCCGGAGGUGUUAUAGCCUAUUGUCACAUACACUGGGGGAGACUGAGGACUGCAGCUCGCCUUUUGGCCGGGGUUCGCCCACGUUCGAGCUUAGGAUGUUGACAUAAUGGCUUUAAACGACCCGUCUUGAAACACGGACCAAGGAGUCUAACAUA
rnacentral:rRNA from 1 species